CCUGACUUCCCCUCGGUGUGGUGGAGAUCAUUUGCGGGUUAUUCUUCUGAAGCCCCCAUCGCGGCUGGUCGUAGCUAUAGAAGCCUCCUCUGAGCUAUUCUGCUUACGUUCUGUGACCCGGCUUAUUUGGAAGUGUGGGCCUUAGUUUUGCGCCAAGCUACGCGAACUGAAGUGCUGCUGUUUUGCCUUGCUGUGCUUUUAUCGUCUGUUCCCGUUGUGAGAAUUCUUUCCCUGCUGCUGUCAGCUUUUACAGUGGACGUCGGCGUGGACAACGGCCAUAUGCAUGCCGGUUAUCGGAGUCAGCUGGCAUGCAUAUUGAUUGACUGUUAACUUAUCGUCGUGUGGACGGCAAGUUGGAGCAGUACGGCGAUUCCGUUUGCUCCAGAUUUUAGAGUUUUAUUCAGAUUAUGCGGAGUGCCGACGUGGAGGAGACUAGGGUGCCUUGGUGGUGGGAUCCCUUGAGUGUACACACCUGCCUUGUCUAGUUUAUUAGUGUGAGUGUGUGAUAGUGUGUUGCACUUGUGUUUUGGUGUGUCUUCUUUCUUUAGUUGUGUGUGGCAUCCCUGCCCCUCCACUGGUAAGCCUCAGCUCUGAAUACCUUUUUAAGCAUAUUUGUAUUUGAAUAUUUAUGAUUAUGUUUUUAUUCGGUGUUUUAAAUAAUUACCAAUAAAUUGUCAAUUUGUUUAUUAUUGAACCUCGUCUCUGGAUUGAGUAUAGCGAACCUAAGUGC
ensembl:lncRNA